UGGCGUAGUUUGUCCUUCAUCUGUUUUCGAUGUAGUUCGUUGCUUUCCUUUUUAAUUUCCCCCCUCCUUUCGGAGUGAGGGUCCUCCCCUUGCCUUUCGUGGGGUUGCGUAGAAGUGUGGAGGUGCCGCUGAGGGGCCUUUCCCCUUCAUCCGAUCUUGUUGGGCAGUCGGGUUUCGUCACCAUCAGGGUGAGGUUCUCCUUCUAUUCCUGACGUAGUCGAUCUAGCUCAGGUUAGGAUGAGGUUCUCCUCCUGUUCCCAACAGGGCCGCAGGGGCACAUAAGGGCCAUCGUAAGGGCCUCUCUCCCCAUCCGGUCUAAAAGAACUGGGCCUUCGACUUUGCUCAUGUCAG
rnacentral:lncRNA from 1 species